CACUAGAACACAGUAUCUGACCCUUUGGUCACAUUUCAUGUCAUUCUACCUUACAGAUACAGUACAUCUGUUUUCCAUGUGUAUCCUGCUGUCCUGAUGUACAGACACAGAUUCAAUCCAUCAAAUAUCAUGUUUUGGAUUUUUUUUCCAAACUGAUAAAUCAUCAUCAGGUCGAGUUACAGCCACUUCCAUCAUCAUCUAAGAAGGCUUUUACAUUGUUCCUGAGAGUGUUGGCCCAGAAGUUCCCCCUGACAUAGAGGACUACCAAUCUGGAGGGUCUUGAAGCCAGCCAAACUAGAGGUGUUCUUCAUGUCCUGUUGUGCUGCCUGUGCCCUGGACUACUUGCUGCCUGACCCUACCUGCACUUAGGUUGAAAGUGAGGUGGCUCAGAAGCAACAACACAGACUCUGCAAGCAGGUGAGAAAUGCUGCAGCAAGCUCAUCUGAAUGCUGCAGCAAGCUCCAUUAAUACACUUACACAGUGUUCCACUGGUCCCAAGAAAGCAUCUCUUCUAAACUGCAAUUCCAGGUGGACUGAUAUUGUCUGGGCCAGCAAUCCUUGGUCUCUCAGGCAGUCCUCAAUUAGGUCCUUCUAUAGGAGAUUCUUUACAGCUGCACGCCCCCUGGCCUUUAUAUACAGUUGGCCCUCCAGUUCCUGCUACAUUGGAAAUCCUUUUGUUUUUUGAUUUUGGCAAUCUAGUUCCAGCCAGGGUGCUGCCAUUGCCUCAAGAUUGUUGACCCCACCCUGGAUGAUCCCCACUAUACUGGACUGUGCUG
rnacentral:lncRNA from 1 species